rnacentral:rRNA from 1 species
AACCAAUGUGACGUUACCAAACUGUUGCCUCGGCGGGAUCUCUGCCCCGGGUGCGUCGCAGCCCCGGACCAAGGCGCCCGCCGGAGGACCAACCAAAACUCUUUUUGUAUACCCCCUCGCGGGUUUUUUUAUAAUCUGAGCCUUCUCGGCGCCUCUCGUAGGCGUUUCGAAAAUGAAUCAAAACUUUCAACAACGGAUCUCUUGGUUCUGGCAUCGAUGAAGAACGCAGCGAAAUGCGAUAAGUAAUGUGAAUUGCAGAAUUCAGUGAAUCAUCGAAUCUUUGAACGCACAUUGCGCCCGCCAGUAUUCUGGCGGGCAUGCCUGUCCGAGCGUCAUUUCAACCCUCGAACCCCUCCGGGGGGUCGGCGUUGGGGAUCGGCCCUGCCUCUGGCGGUGGCCGUCUCCGAAAUACAGUGGCGGUCUCGCCGCAGCCUCUCCUGCGCAGUAGUUUGCACACUCGCAUCGGGAGCGCGGCGCGUCCACAGCCGUUAAACACCCAACUUCUGAAAUG